AUGGGUUGGAGAAGCCUCUGUCAAAUGUGGGCCUACUAAAUCCCCACAGGCCCAACUUAAAAGGCUCAAUGAAAUUUAUCCGAAAAACCCAAAAGCAAAACCAAUUUUUAAAGGCCAUUUUUGAUAGCCCUUUCUCGAAGCAUGCAGCCCCAAUCUUCUUCCUCCCUCCUCUGCUGCACUGAGUGAACUCGCUGAAGUCGACAACUCGGAGCUCGACCAGCCCUCCUAUGGCUUUUGCUCACCACCCAAUAUCCAUUCUUCUCAAAACUUCAAAGCCCAAAGACUUCGAUUCUGAAACCUCCUCUUCCUCCUGCUCCUUCUUUUUCCUCCAUUUCUCUUCCUCUCAAACCUCGCAAUCUCUCCUUGUUGUCAAGGUCCCUAAUUCCAGGGCAUAAAGGUAAUUACAGUUCUCCGCCGUCGGCGCAGGUUCAGCUGCGGACGCCUUCACUAACUUCAAAGCAUCUUCUGCUGCCCAUCACCGACGGGAACCCACAUCUCUCCGAGGGCACGAGACAGGCUAUAGCUACUGUUGCUGCUUUGGCGAAGAAGUAUGGGUCUGGCAUUACGGUUGUGGGUAUGUUUACUGUGAUCGAUGAACAGCAGAAGGAGUCUUUGCCGCAACACGAAACCCAGCUUUCGACUAUCCGCUGGCAUCUCUCUGAAGGUUUGUGUAUUGUCUCAUGUGGAAUUUGAUAUUAUAACUUUGAAUAUUUAUCGAGGA